AAGAAAGUGGCGGAGUGGUUAGGCAGCUGACUUGAAAUUAGUGCACGGGGGUUCAAUUCCCUCCUUUCUCG
rnacentral:tRNA from 1 species